GAUGAACGCUGGCGGCGUGCCUAAUACAUGCAAGUCGAGCGAACAGACGAGGAUCUUGCUCCUCUGACGUUAGCAGCGGGCAGGAGCGUAACACGUGGAUGACCUACAUAUAAGAAAGGGAUAACUUAUAGAAACCGGAGCUAGUACCAGAUGAUAUAUUGAACCGCAGGGUUCAAUAGUGAAAGACGGUUUUGCUGUCACUUAUAGAUGGAUCCGCGCCGCAUUAGCUAGUUGGUAAGGGAACGGCUUACCAAGGCAACGAUGCGUAGCCGACCUGAGAGGGUGACCGUCGACACUGGAAGAGGGAGACGGUCCAGACUCCUACGGGGGGCCGCAGCAGGCACCCUUGGGAAACGGCCGAAAGCCUGACGCAGCAACGCCGGGUAGGUUGUGAAGGUCUUCCGAUCGUAAAGCACUGUUAUUAGGGAAGAACAACUGUGUAAGUAACUGUACACGCCUUGACGGUACCUAGUGAGAAAGCAUCGGCUAACUACGUG
rnacentral:rRNA from 1 species